rnacentral:tRNA from 1 species
GGGGAUUUAGCUCAGUGGCAUAAGUGCCUGCCUUGAAAGCAGGCAGUCGUGAGUUUGAUCCCCG